GGCAUGUGGAAUCCUCCCAGACCAGGGAUCCAACCCAUGUCCCCUGGCUUGGCAGGCAGAUUCUCAACCACUGUGCCACCAGGGAAGUCCCCUCUAUUUUACCUUAAUAAAAAUGUUUCAGGACUUCCCUUGUGGUCCAGUGGUUAAGACUCUGAGCUUCCACUGCAGGGGGCAUGGGUUCCAUCCCUCGUCAGGGAAUUAAGAUCUCGCAUGCUGUGCAAUGCAGCUGAGAAAUAAAAAGUUUCAUAAUUUUUUCUUAAUUAAGAAGAGAAGAGGGGUAGUGGGCAGUAAUUUUGAGAAACUGUUUAAAGUUGAUCUCUCCAUUCUCUGGGCCAGCUCCACUGGUGGCCUGCUUAGGCUGCCAGUGUGGGAUGUUGCGGGGGUUAAGUAGAGGGAUCUCAGAAGUUUUCGUGAGCUGGGAGAGGUGUGGUUACUCCAUAGAGCUCUGUGGUGGGCUUCAGUGCCACGGAAGGGCUUCAAGCCACCACAGAGCUUGGCUUCAGGCAUCCUUGGAAAGCCACAAGCAGUGGUGGUGGAGCCAUGGCUGGAUGAUGGGAAUCCGGGCCCUGCCCUCUGCAGCCUCCAGCCAAGUCCAUGGUGUGUGCGCCCGUCAUCGGCUUUUUAGUGGGUCUCAUAUUUGUUUAGACUUGUCUAGUUGUCUGGAAGCUGGCGUCAUGUGAAAUGGGAAAUGCUGCUUUCACAAUGCUGGCUGAAAUUUCACAAACAUUGGCAUAACAAAUUCAAGAGAAGUGUCAACUCCUUGGCAAGGAUGGCACUGUUCAAAGGGGGACUGUAGCAACUGAGUCAUCUUUGGAGGAUAUUAGCCUAGAGAAAGAGUCAACAAAAAUUCAGAGCCUGGCGGACACCUAUGGAAUGCUGACGAGUACCAACUCUAUCCUGAAGGAGGAAAUAAUAAAAUAAUACUUCCCUAAUAAAAGAAAUAGAUGAAAGAUCCAGACACUCAAGAAAAAAGGAGCUGAUGGCUGAAGUUGCAAGAAUGAUCUGGUCACUGAACUAGGAGUCACCACAUCACAAUAAAUUUUCCAAACAAUAACUCCCUGUUGUCCCUCCAGAUGGUGGCCUUGGUCUGAAAGCAGAGGCCUCCUGUGCUGCCAGGCCACAUUCACCCACCUCCCUCUCAUAUGUUAUCGUCACUCCAGAUGCAAGCAGUUCCUGUAGAGACCUCCUUUUCCUUCUCAUCCUCCUCUGGGAAGAGCUUAUAGAGCCCCCUUCUUGGGCUGGAGUUUCUCCUCUACCCUCAAAUCCUAAAAACAAAAGUGAGUUCCUUUGAAGUUAGUCCAAACUUCAAAUGAACCAUUGGAACCAACAUCAAGAAACUAGAGAUUUAAAAUCGGGCCUCUUCAAAAUGAAUUUUAAUCUCAUUUGUUAGCAUUUAAAAAACUUAAAGGGGGAGGCUUCCCUGGUGGCUCAGUGGUUGAGAGUCCACCUGCUGAUGCAGGGGACACGGGUUCGUGCUCCGGUCCGGGAAGAUCCCACAUGCCGCGGAGCAGCUGGGCCCGUAAGCCAUGGCCGCUGAGCCUGUGCUCCACAAGGGAGGGGCCACAACAGUGAGAGGCCCCCGUACCGCAAAAAUAAAAAACAAAAACAAAAACUUAAAGGGCCAUACUUGUGCUCAUAAUAACAAUCAAUAGAACUUUAGUUCUCAGAAUAGGGUUUGUAAAAUUAUUUUUAUAUAAAUGUUAUAAUUAAAUUAUUUUUACUUAAUUUUUCUCUAUACAUAAUAUAAAUAUGAUGUUUUCUUUAAUUAUACGUGCAGUUUAUCAAUAGCAUACAAUUCCAAGAAGAUUCUAUAGUUCUUUAGAGGGUCCCAAGCAGGAUUGAGCCUGAGCUGUACAGGGUGAUAACCAUUCAAUGACACACAUUUUAUUGGCUUUCUCUCCUUGCCUGUAUCACUCUCCAUUUUCUGGGAUUACCUUCCAAAUAAGUUACAUGCACCUGAGAGUAUGUCUCCGGCUCUGCUUUCAGGGGAAACUAAGCUAAGACAGACAUUGGAAUGUACAGCCAGCCACACAAUAUAUAACUAGGCCCUUCGGGCUGACUUUCCCUCGCCUUCUACUACGAGGGGUGUGGACACUGUCAUCAAUAAAUGAAGCUUGGUCACAUCUUUCUGAACUGCAGUCCCCGUUGUUAGAAAGACAGCAUGUAAUGGGGACAGUGUCAUCUCCAGGCAGUGGAUGCCUCCGGUCCAUGAAUUCUCUAGACCCCUCCCAUCCUGCCCCCUUCCACACAUUCCUGAAUGUAUCGGUCACAUUAAAUCAAUGAGACUAACUGAGCUGCUCCUUCCUUAUUCCACUGUUUCUCUGACAUCACCCAGGAAAUUACUGGAACCUUUGGUCUUAGCUGUCCCUCAACUGUGGUGCCGUCUCAACCAGUGUCUGCCAGGCUAGUAAUUCGUUUUCAGUAGAGAAGUAGCAAGCAGCUACAUUGGGUGAUUUUAGGGGCCAAGAGCCUCAAUCCUUAAGCCAAUCCUGAUAUACGUCAGAGACCAUCUCAUUAGAGCAUUUAUUGCACCCCAUCAAUCUUGUGGUGCGAUAAACAAGACCGAGCAGAGUACAGCAUAGAAUACCAAGCAUGAACACUGUCUUUUCUUUUUCUUUUUAAUCACCUGUAGCCUUUCAGGCCAACAUAUGCUUCUCUGAACUGAGAGCUUCGGAAGUAGCAUAAAUGUUAGUUGCAAGCAUCUCUGGGACUUAUGCUCACAGGCCUUUAGAUUGCCAAUAAAGGCGAUCUUGUAGAGACAUUCUUAAAAGUCUAGUGAUUUUUGGCUCUCUGUUCUUAUUUAAGAGAGAAACACCAAAAAUGGCUUGGAAACUUGGCCAGGAUGUUAACUAGUGGCUUCACUGUACAGUUUACUGUAGAUCUGUACUCAGGCCUUACUUUGUAGAUGCCCAAAUGUUAGCGUCUGUAGGGUUUUUUUCUCUUGGGCUAGUCUUCUGUUUGUUUGUACUGUUGUUAUUGUUCUGUAUUUCAGGAGAGGGUGUAAGCCUGGCUGCUAUUAUUCUAGGAGUUGAGUAAGGGCAGGGGACUAAAGUUCUCACAACUCAGUAUGUAAAAUUUAACUUUACCUCCCUAUUUUACCUUUUGUCUUACUUCCCUGAAAUAUUCCUGAGGCUAGAGCUCUGUUUCAAUUUUUCCAGUGAGAAUACCUGGAAUGUCUUCCUCUGUUGGGGUGGGAAAGGUUUAGGUGCCUGGCUAUGCAAUGUUAGGGCUGGCAUCUAGAGAGCUAGCUGCUUUUUAUUAGACUUUCAACUAAUCUUGUUUUUAAUCCAUACCCCAUUCAAAGUGACAGGUGCCUCCAAUUCUGCAGCCAUUCUUGUCUUGCUUUAUGGCUUUUCCGAGUGCAGAUGCUUAAAUUUCAGCUUUCUCUGCUUUUUUAAGUUUCCACUUGUCCACCUGCUUGCCAUUUUCCAAGUUGUACUCUAGCAGCAAAUCACCUAUCUGAAAAGACUACCUAUCUCAGCCUCCUUUGCAUAUAGUUCUGGCCAAAGGGGAAAUGCUAUGAGAAACAUCAGGAAUGGCCCCUUAACGGGAUUUGAUUCGGCUGUGGAGCACAUCCUUUUAUCCUUCUCUUCUCCCUUCUUCCUACUGCCUGGAAUGUGGACAUGAUAGCUAGAACGCCAGCAAUUAUCCUGAACUCAUGAGGGAAGCUUGAGGAAGGAAGCCACAUACUGAGGAUGACAGAGCAGAAAUAUAGGAGCCUUGGUCCCUGGUGGCUGUGGAGUUAUCCCAGACUAACGGCGGACUUCUUUUAUACUAACAGUAAUUCUGAUAAAUUCUAUCAUGUACAAUUUCCUUCAAAAGAGGGGGAAAGACUAUGAUACAUUGAUAAUUGUGUACAUUGCAUUACUGAGUACGUUGCCGACAGGACAGAACUUCCUUUCUGACCAGGAGGAUAAAAAUAGACUUCUCUCUCCCUAACAAUUUUACAUAUCUAGUGAUUGGAAGAAUUUCCAAUAGACUGACUCAUACCUCCUUUCCUUUUAGUCUUUGUAUAUAUGGUGCCAUCCACUGCAGGAUGAAGUCACAUUGCAGUGUAACCUCUGGCCCUGCACCUUUACAUGACAGGAUCCCAGGUGAGUUGGCACAGAGGGCAGUAGGAAUAUUCCUGGGAGCCAUUUCUCUUCCUGGAUGGCUAGCAAUACUUAGAGAUACUGCACCACACAUAAUCCCAUUCCACAAAACCCAAACCAAUGUAUGCUCAGUUCAACUUCCCAUUAACUGGAUCCCAUUAACUGGCCACACUGUGGCCAUUCCAAUGUGACAUGACUAAGGGAAGUCUAUCAGAAGGAACAUCAGAAUGGAAGGAAAUAGAGAUCUUAACUGAUCGUGAUGGAAAUACCUUGGGCGAAUUUUACUCAAACAUAUGACCACAUGAGAUCAUUUCUAGGCCCUUAAUGGGCUUGGAAGGAGUCUGUGUAAGUGAGGGACCCUGAAGCUUAAGCUCCAUUAGCUUCACAGUAUAUCUGCCUUGGGUAGGACAGGUGGAAUAACAUUUAACAAACAGGAACACUUAGUUUAUUUAUGCUGUGGCAACCACAGUACCAGGAGAAACAACAGUCACUAUGCCCAAAAUUUCUUGUGUUGAAUGGGACUUGGGGACAUUCUUUUACUCACAAACCCCACACUUCUCUGUGGUCUUAAUCACUGGCUUCUGCAUAAAUUCCUCCCAAAUUUCACUUCUGUUUCUCCUUCUUUUUUUUUUGUGGUUGCAGGAACUUCAAACUGUGAGGUUUCAUCCUCUUUGUUGGACCUAUUUCCAAGUAUCUUGCUGACCAAGACACAUUCUUAGCAAAUGAGUCAUGUUUACCUGCUAAUUCAGUACAAUUUAUUUCUAACAUUCUUAGCAAAUGAGUCAUGUUUACCUGCUAAUUCAGUACAAUUUAUUUCUAACUUAUUAAUACACAAAGUAGUUUUCAAACACAUAUAUCCACAUGAUGCUUUAAUCCUUUAUAUAACUUCUAUCCAGAUAUAUCAUGCAAAAUUUUAUACUCAGAAAAGUUCCAUGUUUUAUAUACUUAUUAAUUUUAUAAAUUUCCUCAGAAUAUAUUCUUCUUUUGAUCAAUUCUACACUUCAUUAUAAGUUAAAGAAAAUGGCAGUGUAGCAAUGGGACGGUGGAUAAUUUCUCUGGUAUGAGUAGCAGAGGCUAAAAGUAGAACCAUUACUACAGUACUUUCACCUUACAGAGCAGUCGAUAUUUUUCACAAGAUUUUUCCUCCGGAGUGUUCUGCCAGCUUUUUAGGUUUUUCAACCUCCACAGGCUUGCUGUACUAUCAGGAUCGUGGGUUGGUUUAGCUGAUUCUCUGUAGAGAAUAACUGCUAAUAAUUGCUGUUUCAGAAAACAAGUCAACCAAAGUUAACUAACAAAUACUUGCUGAGAUUCUAUAUUGAUUUAAAAAUAUACAAUAAAGCUAAUGGAAAUAUUAGUACUGUCCAAAAGGGACAUAAGAAGCACUUUAUAGAGAGAAUUUAGGAAUUUGAAACUAGAUUCUAGGCUAAGGUUUGAGGAGUUUGUUUAUUUCCCAGUGCUUGGCUUAGCAGCUACGAUGCAUCAUCCUAUUGUGCAAUGUAGACACUCAGGUUUAAUAUGAUCUCACGUAAAACUCAUUUAGCCAUUAAUUGAAAAUAGACAGAUAGGCUGGUCACGGAUUGGCAGUUUUGGCCUUUUUACUUAUUUAAUUUAGCCUAGUUUGUUUUCUUCAACUUCACCUUCAUUGUGCAUUCCUGGGUUAAAAAAAUGCAUAUUUGUUUGUGUGUUUAAUUGUAUUUAUUGCAUUUAAUUUUAAAUGCAAUACAUUUUAAUUUAAAAAAUAAAGCUAUUUAAAUAAGACUACAGCAGUAGUAACAUUUCACAGCUGCAAAAUGUCUCCUUAUUCCCCCUCUUUUUCUCUGUCUCCCCUUCAUAUACAUUGCAUUGUUUCUCUUAAUAGUUUCUCUAGUAUUCUAAAAUUAUGUGGUAUAAGGUCUAUCUCUUUUAAUGAUGAAUAUAAACCUUGGACAUUUCAGUGUAGAAACUUUGACUUCAGGCCUUUUAUUCCCACUUCAAAUAUAAUUUUGGUUCACUUCCAUUCAGUGGUAUACACUGUUCCACAAUUAACUUUGUUCUGUGCUAAACUCUGGUACUAAAUGUUAUGUUCAAAUCUGGGCUUCAAAGCUUUCAAAGCAACAUGAUAGAUCCAUAUUACAUGUCCUCAUGAUUGCAGAUCUCGGCAUGGUCAAGUGUUCCUGGAGAAAGAAACUGACCUCUUGGCAACAACAACUCUUGGGUGAAAUUAUAAACUAAUUUUGGACAAGAAAAAAAACAAGAGCAUCAAUUGCUGCCAUUUGAGAUGGAAGGUCAUUUGAGGACAAAGUGAGAAAAUGGCUGUCUGCAAGCCAGGAAGAGAGGCCUCACCAAAUACCAAUCCUGACAGCAACUUGAUCUUGGACUUCUAGCCUCCAGAGCGGUGAGAACCUGAAGGACCCAAGGAGACACGGGUAAAGUGUCAAGGACCUGGAUGAGAUCCAUCUCUUGUUGCUACAUAAACAGAGGCUACACAAUUCACAGGCAUGUUUUAAAAAUGCAAACUCGGGCUUCCCUGGUGGCGCAGUGGUUAAGAAUCUGUCUGCCAAUGCAGGGGACACGGGUUCGAGCCCUGGUCUGGGAAGAUCCCACAUGCCACGGAGCAACUAAGCCCGUGAGCCACAACUACUAAGCCUGCGCGUCUGGAGCCUGUGCUCCGCAACAGGGGAGGCCGCGACAGUGAGAGGCCUGCGCACCGCGAUGAAGAGUGGGCCCCGCUCGCCGCAACUGGAGAAAGUCCUCGCACAGAAACGAAGACCCAACACAGCCAAGAAAUAAAUAAAUUUAAAAAUGCGAACUCAACUAUAAUGUUACCACAACCACUAAUAUUCAAAUGUUCUCAGCUACUUCUUAAGCUAAGCUAGGAACUAUCCCUAGAGUUGAGCAGAGUCCCCUGAAACCUUUUAACUUGGAAAUCACCAUGCUAUGGGAGAAAUACCUACAGCACUUGGAAAGGCUUUGAGGUUCUCGCAGGCACUUCUUUCUCAAUAAGCCCCUUUACUGAGGUAUGAAUGACAUACAAAGAGCUAUACAUAUUUCACGUAUAUGACUUGAUGAUUUUGGAUAUAAGUAUAUACCAGUGAAACCAUCACCACAAUGUAUGCCAUAAACAUAGCCGUCACCUUCAAAAGUUUCCUCCUGCCUUCUUUAUUAUUAUUAAUUUUUGUGAUAAUGACACUUAACAUAAGAUCUACUCUCUUAGCCAAUUCUUAAUAUUGUCAACACAGGCACUACGCUGUCCAAUAGAAAAGGACUUUUUCAUCUUGCAUAACUGAAACUUUGUACCCUUUGACCACUUCUCUCCAGCCACUGAACCCUCUAGCUUUGCUCCCGUUUCAAUUUAACCAAGUGCCAGAAGCUUAUUUUGUGUCAUAUUAACAAACAGUAAAUAUUUUAAAUGUUAUCUAGUAAAAAGACUUAACUUGGCUUUUGUAUCUUUUCUGGUCUGCUACAAGUUUCCACCAGUGUCUCCUCUUUUCUUAUUUUGGUCUCACACUUUGUAGCAAAACAGAAGAGGAAGCACUUUAUGUAGAAGACCUUUGGGAACACUGUAAUUGCAUUUUUCCUAAUCAGUUUUAUUGGAUAUUUCCAGUUUGCUUCCUAUUUCAUGUUCCAUCAUACCUCUAAUUGUUAGAUGUUUCCUAAUUUUUAGACCACACAUUUUAAACUUUACUUAUGGCUCUUCAUUACCACAUCUUUUAUAAAACAUCUUGAGUAUUUUAAGCACCCUGUGACCAUCCACGUAAUCCAUUCCUGCUAGCAAUGUAAAAUAAGUAACACCAAAAUAACUGAGAAGUUUGAGAGAUGAAUCCUUAGUAGAUACGCACAUGGUGAAAGUGUACACGUUGCUUAAGAGAGGAAUCUCUUGAAGGACCCUCAAGCACUGCAUUGGGUCCAAGUUCUAAAUGUUGUAUCAAGAAGGGCAGGGGAGCCAAAAAAGUUCUCUCCAUUUUCCCAAACCAUAACCUUAGGAGAGAAAUGUUCUCAUCCAGCAAGCCGGGCUGUGUCUUCACAGUGUUGUAGUCUACCAGCCUCAGGGAAUCAGGCAGAGGAGAAGCCUUUCCUCUAAGAGAACCUCACUGUCCUCAUUUCAGUAACAGUUAUGUUCAGCAGAGCAGCUAAUCUCAUUGCCAAGAGGGAGGGAAGUCAAAGAGAGCCUCAAGUAACUUAGUACCAGGACAUUCCAGGCUUUAAAAUAGCUGCCUUUACCUCAUGGGCCAUUUGAAGAAAUCUAUACAGAAUUUGAAAACAAGCUGUAAUAGAACCUUACCCAACAGAAGCAAGGUCUCGCCAGACAUUUUUGUUCAUUUCCUUUGCUUUUAUUUUCCAGAGUUUCUUCCUCACCUUAAGUUAUUUCCUGCCUACUCACUCACUCCCCGGAUGGUUUAAUUCUCUUCUGGGUAUAACCAUUAUGCAUAGUAGAUACAUGGACAUGCACUGUUCCUUAGCUCCUCCACUUUCCUUAGCGCCACUGCUAGUCUUUUGGAUGGUGGCAUCCACCUCCUCUAACACACAUCCAUCCACUGGCCCCUUACACUCCCAUUGCCCCUAUGUGGUUGAAUGAUUUUACCAUCCACCCAGCCGUUCACACUAGAAAACUCAGUCAUCCUGCCUCCUUUUCUCCAUCAUGUCCCCUUCCUCCAAACACAUUCCAUCAGACAUCAGGUUUGGCCACUUCUGUCUGUGGAAUGUUUCUGGAUUCCAGGGACUUUGCAGGAAGCUUUUAGCUUGUCUCAGCUCAAAGUCUCUCUGUUUCCAUUUAUCUUCCACAUUGUCAUCAAUUACUAUUCUGGAACAAAAAUCUGGUUUUACUUUUCUCCUGCUUAAUAACAUUCGAUAGUUAUCCACUGUCUGGAUAGAGUUUUAUCUCUUUAACAAUGUAUACAGAAUUCCUCUAUGUCCCUUCCCCACCCCAUCAAAAUUCACCUUUCUCCCUACCUGUUCUCUUGGUUCACUGCUUUCUGCCAAAUGACAGCCAGCUUUCCCAACACCUUAGCCCAGAAGUGGUUUCUUUUUUUUUCUUUUUUAAAUAUUUAUUUAUUUGGCUGCAUCGGAUCUCAGUUGCAACACGUGGGAUCUUCCUUGCAGCAUGUGGGAUCCUUUAGUUGCGGCAUGCGGGAUCUAGUUCCCUGACCAGGGAUUGAACCUGGGUACCCUGCAUUGGGAACGUGGAGUCUUAACCACUGGACCACCAGGGAAGUCCCCAGAAGUGGUUUCUUUUUUUUCUUUUUUUAAAUAAAUUUUAUUUAUUUAUUUAUUUAUUUAUGGCUGCAUUGGGUCUUCAUUGCUGUGCGUGGGCUUUCUCUAGUUGCGGCGAGCAGGGGCUACUCUUCGUUGUGGUGCGAGGGCUUCUCAUUGCGGUGGCUUCUCCUGUUGUAGAACACGGGCUCUAGGCAUGUGGGCUUCAGUAGUUGUGGCUCGUGGACUCUACAGAAUAGGCUCUGUAGUUGUGGCGCACGGGCUUCGCUGCUCCGCAGCAUGUGGGAUCUUCCUGGACCAGGGCCCGAACCUGUGUCCCCUGCACUGGCAGGCAGAUUCUUAGCACUGCGCCACCAAGGAAGUCCCAGAAGUGGUUUCUUAAUGUGCUAUCUAGUUUUUCAUUCCAUUUCUUUUUCUGGGUUCUCAACAUAUUUUUGUCUUCUCAUUUAGGUCAUGCUUUGCAAGACUAUGUUGAGGAUUUUAUUUUAUUCUAAUUAAAAUAAUAUCAACCAUAUCCAAGUCUGUUGUCUUGCCAAAAAGCGUUCUGAAUCUGAAGUCCAGAAUAAUAUCCAGUCUAGUCUUGUACAAUUUGGCUAGUAUUUCAGCCAUGGACAACGUUGCUUUCCCAAGGUAAAGGAAAUAAUUGAUCUACUAUCCCCACCAAAGCACUCAUUUGUCAUGAAUUUGCUGUCCUUAAAGUUAUGGAGUUGGGUGUCAUGGCGGCUGGUUUUCUGAGCAGUGAGAGAAGAGGUAUCUUUCUACUUUAAA